UACAGAGGGUGCAAGCGUUAAUCGGAAUUACUGGGCGUAAAGCGUGCGUAGACGGUUAUGUAAGUCGGGUGUGAAGCCCGGGCUUAACCUGGGAAUGGCAGUGGAACUAGAGAACUUGAAUCUGGCAGAGGGGUGGAAUGCCACGGUGUAGCAGUGAAAUGCGUAGAUAUGUGGCGGAACACCGAUGGCGAAGGCAGCCCCUGGGCUGAGAU
rnacentral:rRNA from 1 species